GUCGAGCGGACAGAAGGGAGCUUGCUCCCGGAUGUUAGCGGCGGACGGGUGAGUAACACGUGGGUAACCUGCCUGUAAGACUGGGAUAACUCCGGGAAACCGGAGCUAAUACCGGAUAGUUCCUUGAACCGCAUGGUUCAAGGAUGAAAGACGGUUUCGGCUGUCACUUACAGAUGGACCCGCGGCGCAUUAGCUAGUUGGUGGGGUAAUGGCUCACCAAGGCGACGAUGCGUAGCCGACCUGAGAGGGUGAUCGGCCACACUGGGACUGAGACACGGCCCAGACUCCUACGGGAGGCAGCAGUAGGGAAUCUUCCGCAAUGGACGAAAGUCUGACGGAGCAACGCCGCGUGAGUGAUGAAGGUUUUCGGAUCGUAAAGCUCUGUUGUUAGGGAAGAACAAGUGCGAGAGUAACUGCUCGCACCUUGACGGUACCUAACCAGAAAGCCACGGCUAACUACGUGCCAGCAGCCGCGGUAAUACGUAGGUGGCAAGCGUUGUCCGGAAUUAUUGGGCGUAAAGGGCUCGCAGGCGGUUUCUUAAGUCUGAUGUGAAAGCCCCCGGCUCAACCGGGGAGGGUCAUUGGAAACUGGGAAACUUGAGUGCAGAAGAGGAGAGUGGAAUUCCACGUGUAGCGGUGAAAUGCGUAGAGAUGUGGAGGAACACCAGUGGCGAAGGCGACUCUCUGGUCUGUAACUGACGCUGAGGAGCGAAAGCGUGGGGAGCGAACAGGAUUAGAUACCCUGGUAGUCCACGCCGUAAACGAUGAGUGCUAAGUGUUAGGGGGUUUCCGCCCCUUAGUGCUGCAGCUAACGCAUUAAGCACUCCGCCUGGGGAGUACGGUCGCAAGACUGAAACUCAAAGGAAUUGACGGGGGCCCGCACAAGCGGUGGAGCAUGUGGUUUAAUUCGAA
rnacentral:rRNA from 1 species